rnacentral:lncRNA from 1 species
UUUUGGUUUGUUCAUAGGUUGAUUCAAUCUCCAUCACUCUACCUCAGUCCCUCUCUCUUUUGAAGAAGUCAAAACAAAGCCAAAUCGUAAAGAAAAACUCACCCUUGUUUUAGAACUCAUCAGAAGAAUGGACGAGGCUUGCUUAAUUUCCCGUCUUCCAAAAUGACAAGAGAAAUUUAUAUAUAUAUAUAUAUAUAUAUAUAUACAUAUAUAUGAACAUAAAAAUCACGAACUAAAAGAGGGAUAAUUCCAAUUUCUACCACAUAUAUAAAAGAAAUCCUUUCACGCAAUCAAUUUCAAAGAAAAGCUAAUUAAUUAAUCUAUAAAGAUAACACAAUGGAUUAAGAAAAGGAUUACAAAAUCAAACCCAACUAAUCUGAAACUGUGGAGUGCUCGAACAAUUUACAGAGCAAAUUAAACAAAGAGGAUGAGCAGUGGGAGAGGAACAUAAUAUAUGAAAAAUCUCUGAUAAACUCUCCAACAAUUUACAGAGCAAAACAAAUCCCUCAAGAAAUCAAGCUUCAGUAAAGAGGUUGGUGGGAGAGAAGAAAACUCCCUGUUAACAAUAUAUUUAUAGUAUUCAGUGAAGUCUAGUUAGGAGGUCUAAGUAGAGGAGGGUGCGCAGAGGAGGCAAAAGGAAGGUUAUGUAGUAUGAGAAAACGAACCCUUCUUGGAAAAGGUGCCUCGUUAAACAAAUGCUCCAAAACACUUGUCAGCAACGCCGUGUACUCCUCCAUCAGCUCCGCCAUUACCGCCACCAGUAUCAUCUCUUCUUUCUCUCUUCUCUUGUCUCUUGCCAAAGAAUUGCCAAAUGGGUUUAUCUCCGUCUAGACUCUUCAGUAGUAUAGUUUGGUACUCUGAAUGGUUUCUGGUUUUCUCUGGGAAUAUUUAAAGGAAGAAAUUAAUUUAAUUUAAUUCUUUUUGGAGUUUGGCUUUGCUAUUAUUAUUAUUUUAAGAAAAUGGUACUAUGCAAGAAGCCAUGAUUACCACGGCGGCAUCAAGAAAGCAAAGCAAUUCUCUUUGGACAGUGGGCUGUUUAUUACACGUGGACGUGAUUGCAGCAUGACAAUAUGAGCUUGCUUAGGUUAUAGUUUC